UUAACUGUAAAAAUAUUUAGCUCCCAUUGCCAUAAAAUCCUUCAUUUUUCUCAGGAGUAAACCCAACAAAGGUUGUGUAACACACUUGAACAUUUGAGAAUUUGCUUCAGGGUGUAAAGUUCUGAAUGUGUGUGAGAAGUACUUGUUGACACUUUAUUGAUUGGUUGAUUGAUUUGCAGUACUAGGGAUUGAACCUGUGGCCUUUUACACUGAAUCACAUCCCUAUUUCUUCACAUUUUUAUUUUUUCUUGUUUUUGAGACAGGGUCUUGCUCAGUCCUUAAAUUGCCCAGCCAGGGCUUGAAUUUGUGAUCCUCCAGCGUCAGCCUCCCAUACUUAUUGACUUCUAAAAAUCCUCUGUUACAAGGAAACCCAAUGAAGAGGAAUGCAGAUCCCAUUGGUAUAUGAAGAUGGAAGAAAUAUAAGCAAGCAGCUCUUGAGCUUUAGAGCUCUGGCUCUGGCUUUCCUGCUCUGAUGAUGCUCUUUUGGUGAUGACUGGCUCCAUGCCCUGUACUUUAUUGGGGAAUUAACUCACUCACCUCACAAAAGACUACAUUGACUAAAUGAACCCCUCCGCUGGUGGCCUACAGCAGACACUAGUGUCGGGGGCGGAGACGGGUGGAGAAUCCCCGCAGUCCCUGGCCUGACUCUCCCGACAACACAGAAGAUUGUGGAAGAAUCAGACAGAGAUCGAAGUUGUACUUUUAUUCAGCAAGCAUGCAAGAGUACAGCUGCCUUUUCUCA